CCUAUAAGACUGGGAUAACUUCGGGAAACCGGAGCUAAUACCGGAUAACAUUUAGAACCGCAUGGUUCUAAAGUGAAAGAUGGUUUUGCUAUCACUUAUAGAUGGACCCGCGCCGUAUUAGCUAGUUGGUAAGGUAACGGCUUACCAAGGCGACGAUACGUAGCCGACCUGAGAGGGUGAUCGGCCACACUGGAACUGAGACACGGUCCAGACUCCUACGGGAGGCAGCAGUAGGGAAUCUUCCGCAAUGGGCGAAAGCCUGACGGAGCAACGCCGCGUGAGUGAUGAAGGGUUUCGGCUCGUAAAACUCUGUUAUUAGGGAAGAACAAAUGUGUAAGUAACUGUGCACAUCUUGACGGUACCUAAUCAGAAAGCCACGGCUAACUACGUGCCAGCAGCCGCGGUAAUACGUAGGUGGCAAGCGUUAUCCGGAAUUAUUGGGCGUAAAGCGCGCGUAGGCGGUUUCUUAAGUCUGAUGUGAAAGCCCACGGCUCAACCGUGGAGGGUCAUUGGAAACUGGGAAGCUUGAGUGCAGAAGAGGAAAGUGGAAUUCCAUGUGUAGCGGUGAAAUGCGCAGAGAUAUGGAGGAACACCAGUGGCGAAGGCGACUUUCUGGUCUGUAACUGACGCUGAUGUGCGAAAGCGUGGGGAUCAAACAGGAUUAGAUACCCUGGUAGUCCACGCCGUAAACGAUGAGUGCUAAGUGUUAGGGGGUUUCCGCCCCUUAGUGCUGCAGCUAACGCAUUAAGCACUCCGCCUGGGGAGUACGACCGCAAGGUGAAACUCAAA
rnacentral:rRNA from 1 species